GUUCUUGUGGAGGUGCUCGCAGGCAGGGAGGGACCAGAGGAACCGCCCCAGCCGCUCGAUGUUGCCGCCUUGCUGGAGCACCUCGCAGACGCAGGCCACUUGCUCUUGGGUGAAGCCAAAAGUCGGGAGCAUCGACAUGGGCCAGGUUUGCCCAACAAGAACCCUUAUGGGAAACAGAGAAGUAUAUGUUCAGAAAGGUAAGGUCAGGCUCCACCAAACUCCAUGGACUCACAGAGCCCCACAGAAGAACUGGGAAAAAUCAAGGGCAGCCUUGGGCUUCUGGGGAGCAUAUUUUGCACUACAGGUCCAGAAAGCUUUACAGUGACAAUGCUUGACUGUCCCUCAGUGCCAAUCCACCAGAGUUCUGCAUCAGCAAUCACUGAGGGAUGUAGAAGCUGUUUCCAGGUUGCUGAUGUCUGGACUUUGCCACCAGGAUCAGACUCACUGGAGAAAGCUAGGCCAGCAUGUGCUCCAGCUUUCCACAACACACUGGUGGGAAUUGAGCUGUUCAGGUUCUUGGGCUGGGACUAACUCCUCUCCUGAUUUAUCCUAAACCCAAAGAGGCCUCAAAUGCAGCAUCAUGGGUCUUUCGUGUACCAGAGAAAACAGCUCAGCAGAGGGUACCAACUAUGUCCAAAGAGCCAGUAGAUGGAAAUAAACAUUGGUAGUUACUGAGACAUACUAGAUAUGACCUCAUUACCUAUAAAUGGAAGGCUUUCUAUGUAAGCCAUUUACUCAAGUAAAAUUAUGCCACAAGAAGGAAUAUGCUUACUUUUCACCAUCUCUAUUUAUUAAAAACAUUGCUAGCAUGUUCCUUGAUAACUUGAUUUAUGAAGUUUGUGACAAAUUGCUUUCUUAAUUGAAAUAUGUCAGGUUUCUAAAUACUGAAGUUAAUUAUCCCUCCUUUUCUAGUUGAAGGCUGACCUUUAAUUAUACAAUAUUAAUCCACAUAUUGUAUGAAUUAUGUGAAAUAUCCAUUUUGUAUGUAGAGGGAGACAUGUAUGUGUUAUUGUAGUGGCGUACAGUUACAUAAUUAUUUUUAAUUUAGGAUACCAGUUUAAUUAAAUACUUGCAGAAACCAAGCUUUUUCAGGAAAUUUGCAAUUACAAUCAAUUUGAAUGUACAGCUACAUUAAUAUGGUGACAAGCCCAAUAAUAAAAACGAACUAAGUAAUUAUGGGCAGGUGCUGAACAGAUGUGUAAAUAGAAGGUCUCUGCAUGGAACAUUGUUAUAUAUCAUUUUGAAAAGCACAAGAAACCUGUUAUCCAUAGCCAUUCAUAUAUGCAGUUAUAAACCGUCACAAAAAAAGUUAGUUCUUUCAAUUUAGAUAAAUCACUUAAAAAUGUGUAUGGCACUUAGGCUUUCAUUUUCUGUUUCUGGAAAGAAAGUCUAGUUGAUUGAAGACUGCUGCUCUACUGUACUCAAAGAGUCUGCCGCACCAUUGAAAUAUAUUCUUCUUUCAACACGUUUAUGAUGAGUGGGUUUUCAGUUUGGAAUGGUUUAACAGUCAAAACAAUUCACAUUCCAUAUUACAAGUUGAGCUUUAUUUAAAGAAGGGGGGAGGUUAAGACUAGUUUAGAGUUGUUUGCUCAAGUUAUCAGAUUGCCAAAAACCCAAUUUAACCUCCAAAUAGUUGGAAAACAAUGACAUUGCAUUACUACUGUGAAUUGCUUUUAGACAGAUUUACAGUGAGGGAUUUUUGUGCAUUUUAGGUUUUUUUUCCAAGCCAGUAUAUUAAAAUAUACUUUUUCAAGUCUUCUAUUUUUGUGUGGUGUGUGAGAAAUAAUUAUAUCUCUGAUGUAAGCAACUAAGCUAAACUGAAAUAUUUUAUAUAGCAAUCGUACAGAGAACCCGAGGACAGACUGGAAUCUAAGGAAACAUGAACAUGAGCCAUCGCUUUGUAUGGAACAGGAUGCCCUAAGCUGUCUAUGGAAGAUCACAAUAUCUAAAGUAGCCAUGUCUAAGCAAGGGGCAUGUCUGAACUAGACUCUUUCAUGAACUUAGAUGCUUUUUUCCAAACUGCAGAGAUCUGUCUUCCUCUCCCCAAGGUUUAUGGCUCUGAAAUGGAUCCCAGUAGCCAAGCCGGACCCUUCUCAAGCAAUACUGGAACAGCAGUAAGGUACUUUUCCUCAUUCUCAGAAAUAGUCACUCCAGCUGUUGGCACUAUGGAAAGCUGUGAGAGGCAGCUGGAGUUGUGCACCAUUCUCUUUCUUAUCCCACCAUGUGCCGGGCCAUCAUCUUAUCUGGAAAUGGAACAACUGACAUGUCUGGAGAGAGAUUAAUAAGGGAGCAGUGCUGCUGCAAUAAAAACUGUCUGGAGAGAUUCCACUCAUCUAUUUCAUUUGUAAAAGGGCAAACUUCUAAAGCAUAAAUUUGUAUUCCAAAUGUGCUAUGAAAUACUUCAGGUGGGGAGGGUGAAGUGGGGACCUCACAGCAUUGUAUCCUGCAGUCCUCUGCAGCUGAACAGGCCCCAUGGAUGACAUAAACAGCAGGGACUUUUA